rnacentral:rRNA from 1 species
GACCAAGGAGUCUAACAUGUGCGCGAGUCGUAGGGUUACGCUCAAAGCCCGAAGGCGCAAUGAAAGUGAAGGUCGGCCUCGAUUGCCGUUACCUAGGCGGGAUCCGUUCGGGCUUACCGGUCGUUCGCGGCUGAGCCCGGCGGCGCACCGCCGGCCCGUCUCGACCGCAUCGCCGGUGAGGCGGAGCGAGAGCGUACACGUUGGGACCCGAAAGAUGGUGAACUAUGCCCGGGCAGGACGAAGCCAGAGGAAACUCUGGUGGAGGUCCGUAGCGAUUCUGACGUGCAAAUCGAUCGUCGGACCUGGUAUAGGCGCGAAAUAUUAAUCCUCACCUUCUAUUUGUUGGUUCCU